CCUACGGGAGGCUGCAGUGGGGAAUAUUGGACAAUGGGGGGAACCCUGAUCCAACCAUGCCGCGUGUGUGAAGAAGGCCCUCGGGUUGUAAAGCACUUUCAGUGAGGAAGAACGCCUGGUGGUUAAUACCCAUCAGGAAGGACAUUACUCACAGAAGAAGCACCGGCUAACCCGUGCCAGCAGCCGCGGUAAUACGGAGGGUGCGAGCGUUAAUCGGAAUUACUGGGCGUAAAGCGCGCGUAGGUGGCUUGAUAAGCCGGUUGUGAAAGCCCCGGGCUCAACCUGGGAACGGCAUCCGGAACUGUCAAGCUAGAGUGCAGGGGAGGAAGGUAGAAUUCCCGGUGUAGCGGUGAAAUGCGUAGAGAUCGGGAGGAAUACCAGUGGCGAAGGCGGCCUUCUGGACUGACACUGACACUGAGGUGCGAAAGCGUGGGUAGCAAACAGGAUUAGAUACCCCAGUAGUC
rnacentral:rRNA from 1 species